rnacentral:rRNA from 1 species
CCCAGACUCCUACGGGAGGCAGCAGUGGGGGAUAUUGCACAAUGGGGGGAACCCUGAUGCAGCGACGCCGCGUGGGCGAUGGAGCGCCUCGGCGCGUAAAGCCCUAUCAGCAGGGAAGAAGAUGACGGUACCUGACUAAGAAGCCCCGGCUAAAUACGUGCCAGCAGCCGCGGUAAUACGUAUGGGGCAAGCGUUAUCCGGAUUUACUGGGUGUAAAGGGAGCGCAGGCGGCCUGGCAAGCCUGAUGUGAAAUGCCGGGGCCCAACCCCGGGGCUGCAUUGGGAACUGCCAGGCUGGAGUGCCGGAGAGGCAGGCGGAAUUCCUAGUGUAGCGGUGAAAUGCGUAGAUAUUAGGAGGAACACCAGUGGCGAAGGCGGCCUGCUGGACGGUGACUGACGCUGAGGCUCGAAAGCGUGGGGAGCAAACAGGAUUAGAUACCCUCGUAC